CCUACGGGAGGCAGCAGUGGGGAAUAUUGGACAAUGGGCGAAAGCCUGAUCCAGCAAUUCCGCGUGUGUGAAGAAGGCCUUCGGGUUGUAAAGCACUUUAGGUUGGGAAGAAAAAGCUCCGGUGAAUAUCCGGAGUGUUGACGGUACCAACAGAAUAAGCACCGGCUAACUCUGUGCCAGCAGCCGCGGUAAUACAGAGGGUGCAAGCGUUAAUCGGAUUUACUGGGCGUAAAGCGUGCGCAGGUGGUUUCGUAAGUCGGAUGUGAAAGCCCCGGGCUCAACCUGGGAACUGCGUUCGAUACUGCGAGACUAGAGUUUGGUAGAGGGUGGCGGAAUUCCCGGUGUAGCGGUGAAAUGCGUAGAUAUCGGGAGGAACAUCAAUGGCGAAGGCAGCCACCUGGGCCUGAACUGACACUGAGGCACGAAAGCGUGGGUAGCAAACAGGAUUAGAUACCCUGGUAGUCCACGCCGUAAACGAUGAGAACUUGACGUCGGCCCGUUUUACGAGUCGGUGUCGUAGCUAACGCGAUAAGUCUCCGCCUGGGGNGAGCGCGAGUAGAAGUAANAAGAAGUUAGAGNGNGAGAGNGCGAGCGACGACGAGGAGGAGG
rnacentral:rRNA from 1 species